rnacentral:rRNA from 1 species
CUAUACAUGCAAGUCGAGCGGACCGACGGGAGCUUGCUCCCUUAGGUCAGCGGCGGACGGGUGAGUAACACGUGGGUAACCUGCCUGUAAGACUGGGAUAACUCCGGGAAACCGGGGCUAAUACCGGAUGCUUGAUUGAACCGCAUGGUUCAAUCAUAAAAGGUGGCUUUUAGCUACCACUUGCAGAUGGACCCGCGGCGCAUUAGCUAGUUGGUGAGGUAACGGCUCACCAAGGCGACGAUGCGUAGCCGACCUGAGAGGGUGAUCGGCCACACUGGGACUGAGACACGGCCCAGACUCCUACGGGAGGCAGCAGUAGGGAAUCUUCCGCAAUGGACGAAAGUCUGACGGAGCAACGCCGCGUGAGUGAUGAAGGUUUUCGGAUCGUAAAACUCUGUUGUUAGGGAAGAACAAGUACCGUUCGAAUAGGGCGGCACCUUGACGGUACCUAACCAGAAAGCCACGGCUAACUACGUGCCAGCAGCCGCGGUAAUACGUAGGUGGCAAGCGUUGUCCGGAAUUAUUGGGCGUAAAGCGCGCGCAGGCGGUUUCUUAAGUCUGAUGUGAAAGCCCCCGGCUCAACCGGGGAGGGUCAUUGGAAACUGGGGAACUUGAGUGCAGAAGAGGAGAGUGGAAUUCCACGUGUAGCGGUGAAAUGCGUAGAGAUGUGGAGGAACACCAGUGGCGAAGGCGACUCUCUGGUCUGUAACUGACGCUGAGGCGCG